CACGAUCAUACCGCAUACGUCCUACGGGAGAAAGCAGGGGAUCUUCGGACCUUGCGCUAUCGGAUGAGCCUAUGUCGGAUUAGCUAGUUGGUGAGGUAACGGCUCACCAAGGCCGCGAUCCGUAGCUGGUCUGAGAGGAUGAUCAGCCACAUCGGGACUGAGACCCGGCCCGAACUCCUACGGGAGGCAGCAGUGGGGAAUAUUGGACAAUGGGCGAAAGCCUNGAUCCAGCCAUGGCCGCGUGUGUGAAGNAAGGCCCUCGGGUUGUAAAGCACUUUCAGCGAGGAAGAACGCUUGCGGGUUAAUACCCUGCAAGAAAGACAUCACUCGCAGAAGAAGCACCGGCUAACUCCGUGCCAGCAGCCGCGGUAAUACGGAGGGUGCAAGCGUUAAUCGGAAUUACUGGGCGUAAAGCGCGCGUAGGCGGCUUGAUAAGCCGGUUGUGAAAGCCCCGGGCUCAACCUGGGAACGGCAUCCGGAACUGUCAGGCUAGAGUGCAGGAGAGGAAGGUAGAAUUCCCGGUGUAGCGGUGAAAUGCGUAGAGAUCGGGAGGAAUACCAGUGGCGAAGGCGGCCUUCUGGACUGACACUGACGCUGAGGUGCGAAAGCGUGGGUAGCAAACAGGAUUAGAUACCCUGGUAGUCCACGCCGUAAACGAUGUCGACUAGCCGUUGGGGUCCUCGAGACCUUUGUGGCGCAGUUAACGCGAUAAGUCGACCGCCUGGGGAGUACGGCCGCAAGGUUAAAACUCAAAUGAAUUGACGGGGGCCCGCACAAGCGGUGGAGCAUGUGGUUUAAUUCGAUGCAACGCGAAGAACCUUACCUACUCUUGACAUCGAGCGAACUUUCCAGAGAUGGAUGGGUGCCUUCGGGNAACGCUCAGACAGGUGCUGCAUGGCCGUCGUCAGCUCGUGUUGUGAAANUGUUGGGUUAAGUCCCGUAACGAGCGCAACCCNUUGUCCCUAUUUGCCAGCGANUUCGGUCGGGAACUCUAGGGGAGACUGCCNGGUGACAAACCGGAGGAAGGUGGGGACGACGUCAGGUCAUCAUGGCCCUUACGAGUAGGGGCUACACACGGUGCUACAAUGGCCGGGUACAAUGGGCUGCCAUCCCGCGAGGGGGGAGCUAAUCUCAUAAAGCCGGGUCUCAGUCCGGAUCGGGAGUCUGCAACUCGACUCCGUGAAGUCGGAAUCGCUAAGUAAUCGUGAAUCAGAAUGUCACGGUGAAUACGUUCCCG
rnacentral:rRNA from 1 species